rfam:Amborella trichopoda AMTR_V1.0_contig_31700, whole genome shotgun sequence.
GGGAGCCAAAUGAAUUGAAAGAUUCAUGUUCGGUUCAGGAAGAGAUCAUAGAAGUUAUGGAAUUGAUAUGGAGACAAUCUACUUUCAU